UACGGGGGGGGCAAGCGUUGUUCGGAAUUACUGGGCGUAAAGGGCUCGUAGGCGGCCAACUAAGUCCGACGUGAAAUCCCCAGGCUUAACCUGGGAACUGCGUCGGAUACUGGAUGGCUUGAAUCCGGGAGAGGGAUGCAGAAUUCCAGGUGUAGCGGUGAAAGUGCGCAGAUAUUGGGAAGAACACCAGUGGCGAAGGCGGUUCUCUGGGACGGUACUGGACGCUGAGACGGCGAAAGCGUGGGGAGCGAACAGG
rnacentral:rRNA from 1 species